rnacentral:tRNA from 1 species
ACUUAAAUAGUUUAAUUAGAAUAAUAAUUUGUGGUGUUAUUGGUGUAAAUUUACUUUAGGUU